rnacentral:rRNA from 1 species
UACGGAGGGGGCUAGCGUUGUUCGGAAUUACUGGGCGUAAAGCGUGCGUAGACGGUUAUUUAAGUCGGGUGUGAAAGCCCCGGGCUCAACCUGGGAAUUGCAUUCGAGACUGAAUAGCUAGGGUACGGUAGAGGGAAGUGGAAUUUCCGGUGUAGCGGUGAAAUGCGUAGAUAUCGGAAGGAACAUCAGUGGCGAAAGCGACUUCCUGGACAACACCUGACACUGAGGCACGAAAGCUAGGGGAGCAAACAGG